rnacentral:rRNA from 1 species
GAUGAACGCUAGCUACAGGCUUAACACAUGCAAGUCGCGGGGCAGCAUGGGGGUUGCUUGCAAUCCCCGAUGGCGACCGGCGCACGGGUGAGUAACGCGUAUCCAACCUGCCCUUCACCACGGGAUAACCCGGCGAAAGUCGGACUAAUACCGUAUGUUGUCCAUUGACGGCAUCCGAUUUGGACGAAAGGCUUGGCGGUGAGGGAUGGGGAUGCGUCCGAUUGGCGAGAAGGCGGGGUAACGGCACACCGUGGCUACGAUCGGUAGGGGUUCUGAGAGGAAGGUCCCCCGCACUGGAACUGAGACACAGUCCAGAAUCCUACGGGAGGCAGCAGUGACGAAUAUUGGUCAAUGGGCGUAAGCCUGAACCAGCCAAGUAGCGUGCAGGAUGACGGCCCUAUGGGUUGUAAACUGCUUUUAUGCGGGGAUAAAGUGGCCAACGUGUGGGCUUUUGCAGGUACCGCAUGAAUAAGGACCGGCUAAUUCCGUG